GGAGAGGUGGCAGAGCGGUUGAAUGCGCACGCCUGGAACGCGUGUAAGUGCGAAAGUGCUUCGAGGGUUCGAAUCCCUCUCUCUCCGCCA
rnacentral:tRNA from 1 species